UACAGGGGGUGCAAACGUUGCUCGGAAUUAUUGGGCGUAAAGCGCGCGUAGGCGGUGACUCAAGUCGGAUGUGAAAGCCCUUGGCUUAACCGAGGAAGUGCAUCCGAAACUGAGUCGCUAGAGUACGAUAGAGGGUCGCGGAAUUCCCGGUGUAGAGGUGAAAUUCGUAGAUAUCGGGAGGAACACCGGUGGCGAAGGCGGCGACCUGGGUCGAUACUGACGCUGAGGCGCGAAAGCGUGGGGGAGCAAACAGG
rnacentral:rRNA from 1 species